rnacentral:rRNA from 1 species
CAGCAGCCACGGGAAUACAGAGGGUGCAAGCGUUAAUCGGAAUUACUGGGCGUAAAGCGCGCGUAGGUGGUUGUUUAAGUCUGCUGUGAACGCCCUGGGCUCAACCUGGGAAUUGCAGUGGAUACUGGGCGACUAGAGUAAGGUAGAGGAUAGUGGAAUUUCCGGUGUAGCAGUGAAAUGCGUAGAGAUCGGAAGGAACAUCUGUGGCGAAGGCGACUAUCUGGGCCAUUACUGACACUGAGGCACGAAAGCGUGGGGAGCAAACAGGAUUAGAUACCCGCGUAGUCCCUGUCUCUUAUAC